rnacentral:lncRNA from 1 species
UGUUGUUUUUCUCUUGCCUUGUCUGACCUUGCAGGAUGAAUCUGGUCUCAUAAGUAACACCUUGCGACUGUGUUUGUUUUCAUUACAGGGGUGACUGGGCAGUGACGUGAAGCAGCCAACUGACAAAACCUUCACAGAUGCAGGUCUUCGUCUCUGUGGCCCGCCUUGUUCCUGGUCGUUUUGCAGAAGCAGAGAGCUUCUUCAAUAACUAAUCAAGCUGCCUCCUCCUGUCACCAGGAAUAAGCUCCACACGUGUUCUACCGGGGAAGAACACGCACACAGACUCUGACAACAGACGACUCCGGUCUUUUUCCUUUUUCAUUUUCCAUUUCAAUAAAAAAUAAAAAGCACAAUCGGAAAAGAACAUCAUGCCGAAAAUACUCAUUAUGAUAAAUCUUGGCAAGUGACCAUAAGUAGGCUAUAACAAUAUUAAAGCA